UCCUACGGGGGGCAGCAGUGGGGAAUAUUGGACAAUGGGCGAAAGCCUGAUCCAGCAAUGCCGCGUGAGUGAUGAAGGCCUUAGGGUUGUAAAGCUCUUUUACCAGGGAUGAUAAUGACAGUACCUGGAGAAUAAGCUCCGGCUAACUCCGUGCCAGCAGCCGCGGUAAUACGGAGGGAGCUAGCGUUGUUCGGACUUACUGGGCGUAAAGCGCACGUAGGCGGCUACUCAAGUCAGAGGUGAAAGCCCGGGUCUCAACCCCGGAACUGCCUUUGAAACUAGGUAGCUAGAAUCUUGGAGAGGGCAGUGGAAUUCCGAGUGUAGAGGUGAAAGUCGUAGAUAUUCGGAAGAACACCAGUGGCGAAGGCGACUGACUGGACAAGUAUUGACGCUGAGGUGCGAAAGCGUGGGGAGCAAACAGGAUUAGAUACCCCCGUAGUC
rnacentral:rRNA from 1 species